CACGUAGGAUGCGAGCGUUGUCCGGAAUUAUUGGGCGUAAAGAGCUCGUAGGCGGUGUGUCGCGUCGGCCGUGAAAACUUGCAGCUUAACUGUGGGCGUGCGGUCGAUACGGGCAUCACUGGAGUUCGGCAGGGGAGACUGGAAUUCCUGGUGUAGCGGUGAAAUGCGCAGAUAUCAGGAGGAACACCGGUGGCGAAGGCGGGUCUCUGGGCCGAUACUGACGCUGAGGAGCGAAAGCGUGGGGAGCGAACAGG
rnacentral:rRNA from 1 species